rnacentral:rRNA from 1 species
CUUAAAGUCUGUUCUCAGUUCGGACUGCAGUCUGCAACUCGACUGCACGAAGCUGGAAUCGCUAGUAAUCGCGGAUCAGCACGCCGCGGUGAAUACGUUCCCGGGCCUUGUACACACCGCCCGUCACACCAUGGAAGUCUGCAAUGCCCGAAGCCGGUGGCCUAACCACUUAUGUGGAAGGAGCCGUCUAAGGCAGGGCAGAUGACUGGGGUGAAGUCGUAACAAGGUAUC